CUUGCUUUCCAGGCACAUGCAGGGACCAUGAGAGGCUGGGCCAAGUCUCUCCGAGGUGCGGGAGGAAUCACUGGCGGGCGGUGCGGGUCCACGUGCGUGCGGCAGCGGAGCCCACUGGGCUUCUGCGGGCCUGGGCUGGUGGCAGCGCGGGGGCGGGGGGUGGCGAGCGCGUCCUCCCCUCUGCACCCCGAGCUGCCCCGCCGCUGCAACUCCACCUCUCUCCGCUGCUGAUGAAGGAAUCCGAGGACUGAAAGGCAGCCACGACCCCGGGGCCGGGCGGGCGGCUGGCCCCGCUCCGCGUGAUUGGGCACCGUCUGCUCGGAGCCCGGGGCAAGGCAGUUGAGGCGGCCGGGCUCCGGUUGCCUGAAAGAGCCCGAUCUGGGUCCCAGCCCCGCGUGUCACUCCCCUCCGACAGCACCGCAGCGCCGCGGCCUGAUUAAUGCGGUGCGCGGGGGCCUGCAGGAGCCGGGCUCGCGGUUCCCGGCAAGCGGCCCGGGCGCCCCUGCGGAGACGCGGCUCCGGCUGCUCGGCUGCGACCCCUGGCGGCCGGCGGAGAAACUCUCCGCAGAGCUUCCCAAGCGAAGGGGCCGCUGGACAGAAAGCAAAAGGGAGGAUUUUAAAAGAAACUGGGCUGCAUUUUAGAAGAGGCAUCUAUCUAUCCAGGGAAAUGAAACAUACUUGGGCUUCUUCCAGUGCCUUCGGUGAGCCUGAGUCACAAGAGCCAAUAUAAGACAGGAGUGAAGAGCCUGGACACUUGAGGCACAGUGUAAAUCCAAUGUAUGUAUGUCGCUCACUAACUGUGUGACCUUGAGCACUUUGCUCAGCCUCUCUGAAUCUCUAUUUUUUCUUGUCUAGGAAGCGGAGUAUAUGAAAAAUGCACCUCCAGGAUUGUGGUGACAAAGAUGCAGUAGCAUCUGAGGCGUUCUUGCCCUAACCUCUCUCUCCAGGAGAGAGAAGCUGUCCGAUGCUAUUUGCAUUCCCUUCCCUAGCAGGACUCCUUUGGGACAUGACUGUGAUACAUACGGUUUGAGAACAGGCCAUGUGCCUGUGAGCAACACAGGAAUGAAUCCUCCUUCGUUUUCCCUGACUCCUUCCCUUUCUUUCUCAUCAGUUCACACAGCCCCUGCCUGAACAGAAUGAUGUGUUUGGUGUGCAAGAAGCUUCUUGGCAUAGAGCUGAUCCUAGCUUGGGAUGGAGCUUGAGGCUUUCAGUUGGUUCUUAAAGGCUAUGGAUCAAUGUCCUUGUUCUCCAUGGUGUUAGCAUUGCAAGCAUGCAACGGUUUGGUGUGCAAUGUUCUCUGCUAGGGGCUGGCGUGAUGAAAAGUUUCUCUAGGGGCUCCAGCCUGCAAGAGCACAGUCUAGUUGGAAAGACGUGCCGUACAUAGAGAAAAAACUAAAUAAUAACUUACAAUUAUAAAAUAGCAUCUGUGAAGGGUCAAAUGAGGAGCCCGCUAGCACUAUAGGAAAUCAGAGAAUGAAAACUGACUCAGGGGUGCCUGGGUGGUUCAGUCGGUUAAGCAUCUGCUUUUGGCUCAGGUCAUGAUCUCCAGGUCCUGGGAUCAAGUCCCACAUUAGGCUCCCUGCUCAGCGAGGAGCCUGCUUCUCCCUGUUCCUCUGCCUGCCACUCCCCCUGCUUGUGCACUGGCUCUCUCUCGCUCUCUCUCUCUCUCUAAAAUAAAAUAAAAUAAAAUAAAAUAAAAUUAUAAAACAAAACUGACUCAGAUCAAAUUUGAGAGCCCAUGUACUACAGAAAGUGUCCUGGUACUUUGAUGAGGUGGGCAAGCUCUUCUCUGGAAUUCAGGUUAUAUCACUAGAAGGGUGCAACACAGGGUAUGCUAUCCACAGUGAGGAAGAACAUGUGGGGAAAAUCCAACUUCUCAAAGUCUCCUGAAGAUGCCAGCCACCUCUAGCUUCAGGACAUUGGGGGCUUAUCUCAGGGAAUGACUCUCAAAGACUCCACCUCUCAGAGUAUGACUGCUCCAUGCCCAUCUUCCAGAGGACAAAACUGAGUUGCAAAUAAAUCCCUAUGCAUGAGCUAGAGAAAGAAGAUAGGUACAGAGUUACUCAUGAUUCCUUAUCUGUUCAUUCAUCAGUCCACUUACAUAACAUCCAUCCUUCCAUGUAUCCAUUCAGUCCUCCAUGCACAUGCUAAAUAUUAUAUUUGGAAACUUUUAAAGAUUUUAUUUAUUUAGUAAUGAGUGACAUAGAGAGAGAGGCAGAGACACAGGCAGAGGGAGAAGCAGGCUCCAUGCAGGGAGCUGGAUGCAGGACUCGAUCCCAGGACCCUGGGAUCAUGACCUGAGCCAAAGGCAGAUGCUCGACCACUGAGCCACCCAGAGGCCUCAUUUAGCAAUUGUUGUAUGCCCAGCACUGGUCCUGUGCUGUGAGUACCAAAUUAUGAUGCUUUUCCUUUCCCUCUACCCUGAUCAAGAUCCUAUAUCACCCUACUCAAUUUUAAAGAGUCUCCCCUUUUGUCCCACCGCAUGUGGGGACCAGAUGUACUGUGCGAUUCACGUGGCUCAUUCUAUUGCAGUAACAGGGCCCUGACAAACACGGAUCCCACCACUCUGGUCAGCAAACUGUCAUAUUGAAUCUAACAGCUGAGAUUUUACACAUCUACCCACUACUUCCUGAAGGUACAGGAAGAAUAGGACUCACAGUACUGGCCCCUUUCGGAUCAGAGAGAAAUACAUCAAGCCGUCGCCUCACCCUACAUCUCUGAUGACUGACUCACGAGCUGGUUCUAGCCUCUCCCUCGCGAUUGCCCGCCUCCCUGGGUGUUCACCUAAAACCAUCCCGGGAGCCUUUCCCCCUGGCUGGCUGCCUCUCUCACUCCCACCCUCUGCCCUCAUGGGAUUUGUGACAAUCCGUGCUCUUUAAAAAAUUUGCUGGAGUGUAUUUGUGUGCUUUAGUGGUGGCGGAAUGCUGUAUAAUUAUCUCCCAAUUCAUCAGGCUCCUUAACAGGCAAAUGCCUUUUUUUCCAAUAAGUUUUUCUGGCUGAGGCACCCAUAGGCCUUGUUGCUACGGAAACCAGAACGUUUCUUUCUCUAUUUUAAUGGUGUGUUGAAAGCUCUGUGUGUAUGUGCGCGCACACAUAUGGUAGCUGCUCGCUUUUACAGCUCUUUCUUCCCUUCCUACCUCUGCGGACCUGUCUGGCAUUUUCUCCCCACAUCGCAUGUUCCAGAACGUUCCCCCCUCCUCCAGAGCCCCUGCUCGUCCGUCCCCUUCCUGCCUUUCACUGUGCCCCCACCUCCCC
rnacentral:lncRNA from 1 species